CAAGCCUGAUGCAGCAACGCCGCGUGAGGGACGACGGCCUUCGGGUUGUAAACCUCUUUUAGUAGGGAAGAAGCGAAAGUGACGGUACCUGCAGAAAAAGCACCGGCUAACUACGUGCCAGCAGCCGCGGUAAUACGUAGGGUGCAAGCGUUGUCCGGAAUUAUUGGGCGUAAAGAGCUCGUAGGCGGUUUGUCGCGUCUGCUGUGAAAACCCGAGGCUCAACCUCGGGCCUGCAGUGGGUACGGGCAGACUAGAGUGCGGUAGGGGAGAAUGGAAUUCCUGGUGUAGCGGUGGAAUGCGCAGAUAUCAGGAGGAACACCGAUGGCGAAGGCAGUUCUCUGGGCCGUAACUGACGCUGAGGAGCGAAAGCGUGGGGAGCGAACAGGAUUAGAUACCCUGGUAGUCCACGCCGUAAACGUUGGGCGCUAGAUGUGGGGACCAUUCCACGGUUUCCGUGUCGCAGCUAACGCAUUAAGCGCCCCGCCUGGGGAGUACGGCCGCAAGGCUAAAACUCAAAGGAAUUGACGGGGGCCCGCACAAGCGGCGGAGCAUGCGGAUUAAUUCGAUGCAACGCGAAGAACCUUACCAAGGCUUGACAUAUACGAGAACGGGCCAGAAAUGGUCAACUCUUUGGACACUCGUAAACAGGUGGUGCAUGGUUGUCGUCAGCUCGUGUCGUGAGAUGUUGGGUUAAGUCCCGCAACGAGCGCAACCCUCGUUCUAUGUUGCCAGCACGUAAUGGUGGGAACUCAUAGGAGACUGCCGGGGUCAACUCGGAGGAAGGUGGGGAUGACGUCAAAUCAUCAUGCCCCUUAUGUCUUGGGCUUCACGCAUGCUACAAUGGCCGGUACAAAGGGCUGCAAUACCGUAAGGUGGAGCGAAUCCCAAAAAGCCGGUCUCAGUUCGGAUUGAGGUCUGCAACUCGACCUCAUGAAGUCGGAGUCGCUAGUAAUCGCAGAUCAGCAACGCUGCGGUGAAUACGUUCCCGGGCCUUGUACACACCGCCCGUCAAGUCAUGAAAGUCGGUAACACCCGAAGCCGGUGGCCUAA
rnacentral:rRNA from 1 species